rnacentral:lncRNA from 1 species
UUAAAACAUUCAAAUGUUCAAGUAAGAUCAGGCAAGAUUUAAUAAACUCAAGACUAAUACCUUUGUAUAUAAAAAUCGUGAAUGAUCCUUAGGUUAAAACACAAUUGCAAUCAUAAAGCAAUAAGACUAGUCGUAUCGAAAAUUUUGGUCUAUGCAAGAAGCAGUCAUGCGAUUAGAUCAGUAUAAGUGGCGAAGCCUUUUAUUCUAUACUGUUGUUACAGUAUGAUAUUCGACACAUGGAAUGUGGAAUAGGACUUCUCUAGUAACUAUUUCUUGGUUACUUCUUC